UGUCUCCUACGGGGCGCAGCAGUGAGGAAUAUUGGUCAAUGGGCGCGAGCCUGAACCAGCCAAGUAGCGUGAAGGAUGACUGCCCUACGGGUUGUAAACUUCUUUUAUAAAGGAAUAAAGUGAGGCACGUGUGGCUUUUUGUAUGUACCAUACGAAUAAGGAUCGGCUAACUCCGUGCCAGCAGCCGCGGUAAUACGGAGGAUCCGAGCGUUAUCCGGAUUUAUUGGGUUUAAAGGGAGCGUAGGCGGAUUAUUAAGUCAGUUGUGAAAGUUUGCGGCUCAACCGUAAAAUUGCAGUUGAUACUG
rnacentral:rRNA from 1 species